UACGAAGGGGGCUAGCGUUGCUCGGAAUCACUGGGCGUAAAGGGUGCGUAGGCGGGUCUUUAAGUCAGGGGUGAAAUCCUGGAGCUCAACUCCAGAACUGCCUUUGAUACUGGAGAGCUUGAGUCCGGAAGAGGUGAGUGGAACUCCGAGUGUAGAGGUGAAAUUCGUAGAUAUCAAGAGGAACACCUGAGGUGAAGACGGGUUGCUGGGCUGACACUGACGCUGAGGCGCGAAAGCUAGGGUAGCAAACGGG
rnacentral:rRNA from 1 species